rnacentral:rRNA from 1 species
CAGCCGCCGCGGUAAUACCGGCGGCCCGAGUGGCGGCCACUAUUAUUGGGCUUAAAGCGUCCGUAGCCGGGUUGGUUAGUCUCCCGGGAAAUCUGGCCGCUUAACGGUCAGAAUUCCGGGAGAUACUGCCAGCCUAGGGACCGGGAGAGGCCGAGGGUAUUCCCGGAGUAGGGGUGAAAUCCUAUAAUCCCGGGAGGACCACCUGUGGCGAAGGCGCUCGGCUGGAACGGGCCCGACGGUGAGGGACGAAGGCCAGGGGAGCAAACCGGAUUAGAUACCCGGGUAGUCCUGGCUGUAAACGAUGCGGACUUUGUGUCGGACAAGCUAUGAGCUUGUCCGGUGCCGGAGGGAAACCGUUAAGUCCGCCGCCUGGGGAGUACGGCCGCAAGGCUGAAACUUAAAGGAAUUGGCGGG